AAUGAAAACAGCCACGACCUACUCUGAGGCCGUGUCCCAGUUGUCGUCACACUGGUUGAAAGUUCUCCUUGCAAAUCCUGAACCACCACCCCCACAAUGAUCCCGAACCAAAACUGGACUUCCGCCGUUUCCCCCUCUCACUCACCGUGAACAGACGAGCACGGCAGCGCCCAAGUCCUCCCAUAGAAAUAGUUCGGUUCUUAGGUGUUCUAACAACACCAAAGUCUCUUCACUUUACCAAGGGAUCAACAAGUGAGGAUUUGUGGGUCACUUUUAUUUUUAACGGACCGGUGCCAGAAACACUGCCUCAGCAUUUAUACGUAUGUGCAUUUCAAACGAGGGUGCGUACAAUGCUGGAUUUGUUUAACGGCUCCUGUUGGAAAAAAAGGACCUAUUCCUACAGUCCGUCAUCCACUCACUGAAGAGGGCAAAUCCCAGUUGCCCACAUGCAAGGACGUUGUCAAACAGAGAAAUCAAUGCAGACUGUUGGUACACAGACAUCUGCUGCCCAGCUCAGGAGUGAAGUACCUUUUUGUUUCGAUGAGGUGAUGGUGAGGACAGCCACAGCUUCCAUCUGGUAGAGGACUGCUUCCGCUCAGUCUUCCAAAUAGUGAUGAGAACAAGGAUCACCACAUCUCCCUGUUUACCCUACUUUCAUGCAUUUCGUCUGCAAGGCCCUGCAAAAGCUUCUCCUUCGUCCUCAAACCCCCAGACUUCUUAAUUAACUCAGUAACCUAUACAU